UACGUAGGGUGCAAGCGUUGUCCGGAAUUAUUGGGCGUAAAGAGCUCGUAGGCGGUUUGUCGCGUCGGCUGUGAAAGCCCGGGGCUUAACUCCGGGCCUGCAGCCGAUACGGGCAGACUAGAGUUCGGCAGGGGAGACUGGAAUUCCUGGUGUAGCGGUGAAAUGCGCAGAUAUCAGGAGGAACACCGGUGGCGAAGGCGGGUCUCUGGGCCGAUACUGACGCUGAGGAGCGAAAGCGUGGGGAGCGAACAGG
rnacentral:rRNA from 1 species